rnacentral:lncRNA from 1 species
CCGGUGUCACGAAUCUGAGCCUCUAGAAUACAGAAUAUCAUCCUAAUACAUAGUAUAUCCAAAGUCUGAUAAUGCGGAAAUAAAGAGAUAGGAUAGGAGGGAGAAGAUCAAUGGCCGCGAAUGCCGUGCAGCUACCUCGAUACUCCCAGAAGCUGGAUCUACUGAUCAACUGGAUCUACUGAGCUUGAGACUGCCCUGGAUCUGCACACAAUGUGCAGGGAGUAAAGUGAGUACUCCGACCCAGUGAGUAAUAAAAGUAACUACAGUCCGAAGAUAAGAAAAUCCAGUAAAUAUACAAAGUAAGCUAAAAUCCAAAUAUACAGCAACAUAUAGAACUGAGCAGCUAAACAACAGUAUAAAUAGAAAUACAUGAAUGCAAUGCAAUGCAAUGCAUAUGAUGGUACAUUCCAGUACCCACUGCGGCGUGCAGCCCGAGCCAUCCAUAUUUAUUUAUCGUCGACUGCGCUCACUGGGGGUGUGUACAGACUCCGGAGGGGAUCCUACAAACCAAGCGCAAUAUCUUGGCCAGUCAUUGUUACCUGACCGGUCAGCCAUUGUUACCAGACCAAUUUAUAUCAUACAGUGCCAUUGUUACCACUAUUUAAGUAAAUCAUCCAGUGUCAUUGUUACCACUAUUUCAAGUAUAUCACACAGUGUCAUUGUUACCACUGUUUCAAGUAUAUCACACAGUGUCAUUGUUACCACUAUUUCAAGUAUAUCACACAGUGUCAUUGUUACCACUGUUUCAAGUCACUUUAUAAUCAGUCCAGAAAAUAAUAUAAUAAUCCCCUUGGGCAUUUACAAAACAGAAUUUCCCAGCCCGGAAUACAUUUAAAAAUAUCAUUUAAGUUUUCAACACUUAGAAUUAUGGCUGAGUUUGCAAAACAACAUUUAAAAUCUUGGACUGAAAUUAAAUGAUAUGCAAAUCAUGCUAAGCAGUAAUAUCAAUCCUCGAAGGAUUUUAUAAAUCGGCACAAGACCCCAAACAUGGCAUCAAGUCCAGUAAUAUCAAUGAAGUAUGUGUAUCAAUCACCAGUAUAGUAUAAACAUCACACGGGAUGGACCAAGUCACAAUCUCCAAUAGUAUCCGACCCCGCACUCGCCAUGGAGUGUGUGUCACGCCUCAAUAUAGUGUUACGAUGUGAAAGUCCUGGGUUUCAAACCCUCAGAACAACAUUUACAUCUAUUACUCACCUUAAGAUGGCCAAAAGUCUACUCCGCGAUGCCUUUUCCUUUCGAAUCGACCUCCUCGCGCGUCGAAUCUUGCCAAAA